AUACGGAGGGUGCAAGCGUUAUCCGGAUUUAUUGGGUUUAAAGGGUUCGUAGGCGGAUCAAUAAGUCAGUGGUGAAAGCCUGUGGCUCAACCAUAGAACUGCCAUUGAUACUGUUGAUCUUGAGUACACUUGAAGUGGGCGGAAUGCGUCAUGUAGCGGUGAAAUGCAUAGAUAUGACGCAGAACACCGAUUGCGAAGGCAGCUCACUAAAUUGUAAUUGACGCUGAGGAACGAAAGCGUGGGGAGCGAACAGGAUUAGAUACCCUAGUAGUCC
rnacentral:rRNA from 1 species